rfam:Triticum aestivum genome assembly, contig: Triticum_aestivum_CS42_TGACv1_scaffold_158073_2DL
GUGGUACUCCCUCCGUUCGGAAAUACUUGUCAUCAAAAUGAACAAAAGGGAUGUAUCUAGACGUAUUUUAGUUCUAGAUACAUCCCUUUUUAUCCAUUUUGAUGACAAGUAUUUUCGGACGGAGGGAGUAUAUA